rnacentral:tRNA from 1 species
AGCCUCCGAGGUGGAUUUUGGUCAAGGAUCCGGGACUCUGGAUCCCGUGACCCCGGUUCGAAUCCGGGCGGGGCUA